AGAGUUUGAUCCUGGCUCAGGACGAACGCUGGCGGCGUGCUUAACACAUGCAAGUCGAACGGAGCACCCUUGAUUGAGGUUUCGGCCAAAUGAUAGGAAUGCUUAGUGGCGGACUGGUGAGUAACGCGUGAGGAACCUGCCUUUCAGAGGGGGACAACAGUUGGAAACGACUGCUAAUACCGCAUGACGCAUUUUGAUCGCAUGGUCGAAAUGCCAAAGAUUUAUCGCUGAAAGAUGGCCUCGCGUCUGAUUAGCUAGUUGGUGAGGUAACGGCCCACCAAGGCGACGAUCAGUAGCCGGACUGAGAGGUUGACCGGCCACAUUGGGACUGAGAUACGGCCCAGACUCCUACGGGAGGCAGCAGUGGGGAAUAUUGGGCAAUGGGCGCAAGCCUGACCCAGCAACGCCGCGUGAAGGAAGAAGGCUUUCGGGUUGUAAACUUCUUUUAAGAGGGAAGAGCAGAAGACGGUACCUCUAGAAUAAGCCACGGCUAACUACGUGCCAGCAGCCGCGGUAAUACGUAGGUGGCAAGCGUUGUCCGGAUUUACUGGGUGUAAAGGGCGUGCAGCCGGGCAUGCAAGUCAGAUGUGAAAUCUCAGGGCUUAACCCUGAAACUGCAUUUGAAACUGUAUGUCUUGAGUGCCGGAGAGGUAAUCGGAAUUCCUUGUGUAGCGGUGAAAUGCGUAGAUAUAAGGAAGAACACCAGUGGCGAAGGCGGAUUACUGGACGGUAACUGACGGUGAGGCGCGAAAGCGUGGGGAGCGAACAGGAUUAGAUACCCUGGUAGUCCACGCUGUAAACGAUGGAUACUAGGUGUGCGGGGACUGACCCCCUGCGUGCCGCAGUUAACACAAUAAGUAUCCCACCUGGGGAGUACGAUCGCAAGGUUGAAACUCAAAGGAAUUGACGGGGGCCCGCACAAGCGGUGGA
rnacentral:rRNA from 1 species